AUGUGGUGGCUUGAUGAAGACGAGCAGCAUGAAGACGUCACAGACGAAGGCGGCGGUGGUUUCUGCCUCAAAGCCUGCUGGGACAGGAUGUGUGUGUGUGUCUGUGGGCGGGGAAAUCGAGGUCAGGCGGUGCUGAGGUGGAGACGCAUCAUCAGGUGUGGCCUCAGAAUCAGCGUGAGAAAACAGAUCAGACGCCUAAAUAUAAAGCGUCAGGUCACAGCGUUCCUCUGGGAUAAAUGUGUCACUCAGUAUUCCUCUGAUACAUUCAGGUGUAACGGAGAACCAGGUUUUUUUAUACUUUAUUGCAAGAAAAUGUUUGAACUUCGAGCACCCUUACAGUAUUUUUAUAUUUUAUAGUGAUAAAAUAAUAGUAAGUAAUACAUAUAUGUUGCAUAUAAGUACCUAACAGUGAUAAUAAAGUAUAAAAGUAGAAUAAAGGGAAUGUAGAGUAGAUUAGUAUGAUGGUGUACAGCUCUACAGCAUAUGCUUUCAUAUAUACUUGCCUGUCUUACCUGUACAUACCUACCACAUAUACAAGGAUAACUAGAAUAAAUACAUAAUGAAUAAAAUAAAUAGAAAGAAUAGAUAAUAAAAUAGAGCCUUUUGAUUGGAAAAUAUUUCCUACCUUUCCCCCAAGCCCAUAUAUUAAAAAGUAUGUUAUUAUAAGUUCCUUCAAUCACUUAAUUGAAUUUCCUUGAAACAACUUAAUACAGAAAGGCAGAACAGAAACCUAUACAAUCCAUUCUGUUGUCGUACUGAUUAACUUUAUGUAAACUGAAGUUAGAUGUUGUUGUUUUUCCUCUUCAACACUGCCGCCGGUACAUACGACUGUACAGAUAGGUGUCACUGACAGAGUGACAUUUUACAUUGAUUUUAUGUUAUUGUUUCUACAUUCACUGGAUAAAAACAACCUGUAUCCAGAACGAUAAAAGUUUAUAGAAAUGUCUCCAGAUCUGAAUAUGAUAUCAUAUAAUAUCACAUGACAAUAGAAGAUCUGUUAAAGAUCCACGUCUGUAAUCUUCAGAUGUAUCACCAUCUCGUUUACUACUGUAUGAGUAUAGGAAGUGUCAGUUGCUGUGGCCUAGUGGUUAAUAGUGUUAUAUAUGAAGCACCUCGUUAGCUGUAUGGUUACAGUGUAUGCCGCAUGGUUGCAACUUUCAGCAGUUCGAUUCCGUCAGUGACCUUUGUUUCCUAUUUUCAUCGCCUCUGUCCAAUAAAGCCAAAAAAUGCCAACCCCCAGAAUGAAGUGCUAUUUGAUAUGAAAGUUCAGUGUUAGCACUACUUUUUUAUGAUUAAGUUCAGUUGCACUUGUUUUCACAAAUUGAUAAUGCAUUUUAGAAAGCAUGCAUGAUUUCUAUAAAUUGAAUCUAUUUUUACUCUGUUGGUGAAGAGAACAUUAUGACUUGUUCAGGACUUGAAACUCAAAGUUUAGAACUUGACACUAAUUUGGGACUUGCAUAAUAAUUACUUGGUCCCACCUCUGGUAUUAAUGUACGUAAUGUAAAAUAUGUUGUGUUCCUCUUACAAUGACUUUACACAUUCUAUAACAAUGAAAUAAGACAAAAUGAAACAAAUGCAAACAAACAAAAUAAUAAUAGUCAUCUUUAUUCUUAGAGCACUUUUAAAACCAAUGUUUUUCACAAGUAUUUCACAAAAAGUAAAAUAAAACGUGUUAUAAAAUCAUCAAUUUAAUACAAGAUGCAAUAAGAAAACAUUUAGGAAGCAAAACAUAAUUUACUUCAAGUAAAGUCAAAGAGGGGUCCAAAGCUUCUGCUGGGCCUCUGAGAUCCUCAUAGAUCCUCCCAUAGCAGAGAGAGGGACCACGUAGAGCCUUAAAAGUAAUCAGUAAAAUCUUAAAAUCAAUUCUGAAACAAAGUUUCAGGGUUUUCACAAACAUACGACGGACAGAGGUAGGAACGUCAAACAUUUAUUUUAUUUGUCGUUUCUGUCAAAACAACAACUGUUGAUAUAAUCAGAGCCUGAACAACAAGUGAGAACUGACUGUGAGGAUUCAGGUUUGUUUGUUGGUUUCCUCUGUAAUACUAAUACUGACACAGCGUUCUCCUGGAGGCCGAUAGCAUGUGCUCAUGCUACUACUGCUAUUACUACUACUACUACUGCUCAUAUUUUAACUGUGUUUUGUAUGAUGGAUUAUAUUUUAUCUUUGUUGUUUCUUUUUAUCUCAUUUAUUUUGUCAAGCAUUUUGUAGCUGUGCUAUACAAAUACAGUUAUUAUUAUUAUU
rnacentral:lncRNA from 15 species